GAUGAACGCUGGCGGCGUGCUUAACACAUGCAAGUCGAACGAUGAAGCCCAGCUUGCUGGGUGGAUUAGUGGCGAACGGGUGAGUAACACGUGAGUAACCUGCCCUUAACUCUGGGAUAAGCCUGGGAAACUGGGUCUAAUACCGGAUAGGAGCGUCCACCGCAUGGUGGGUGUUAGAAAGAUUUAUCGGUUUUGGAUGGACUCGCGGCCUAUCAGCUUGUUGGUGAGGUAAUGGCUCACCAAGGCGACGACGGGUAGCCGGCCUGAGAGGGUGACCGGCCACACUGGGACUGAGAAACGGCCCAGACUCCUACGGGAGGCAGCAGUGGGGAAUAUUGCACAAUGGGCGCAAGCCUGAUGCAGCGACGCCGCGUGAGGGAUGACGGCCUUCGGGUUGUAAACCUCUUUCAGUAGGGAAGAAGCGAAAGUGACGGUACCUGCAGAAGAAGCACCGGCUAACUACGUG
rnacentral:rRNA from 1 species